GAUGAAGAACGUAGUGAAAUGCGAUAAGUAAUGUGAAUUGCAGAAUUCAGUGAAUCAUCGAAUCUUUGAACGCACAUUGCGCCCAUUAGUAUUCUAGUGGGCAUGCCUGUUCGAGCGUCAUUAAUUCCACUUAAGCCCUGCUUAGUGUUGGGAAUCUACUCUAGUGGUGCUACCCUGGAGCUACCCCUGAAAGGGGGCUGGCCCGGUAGCUACCCUGUAGUUCCUCAAAGAUAGUGCGCGGAGUUGCGUGGUCCUCUGAGCUUAGUAACUAUACACCUAGCUUUUGAGUGUCCCGCGGCGCCUGCCGUUUAAACCCCAUCUUUUAAUGGUUGACCUCGGAUCAGGUAGGAAUACCCGCUGAACUUAAGCAUAUCAAAGCGGAGGA
rnacentral:misc_RNA from 1 species